AUACGGUACAUGUAUACAUAUACAUGUAUACAUAUAUAUGUGUGUGUGUGUGUGUGUAUGUAUGUAUGUAUGUAU